CCUACGGGAGGCAGCAGUGGGGAAUAUUGGGCAAUGGGCGCAAGCCUGACCCAGCAACGCCGCGUGAAGGAAGAAGGCUUUCGGGUUGUAAACUUCUUUUGUCAGGGACGAAGCAAGUGACGGUACCUGACGAAUAAGCCACGGCUAACUACGUGCCAGCAGCCGCGGUAAUACGUAGGUGGCAAGCGUUAUCCGGAUUUACUGGGUGUAAAGGGCGUGUAGGCGGGGAAGCAAGUCAGAUGUGAAAACCACGGGCUCAACCUGUGGCCUGCAUUUGAAACUGUUUUUCUUGAGUGCUGGGGAGGCAAUCGGAAUUCCGUGUGUAGCGGUGAAAUGCGUAGAUAUACGGAGGAACACCAGUGGCGAAGGCGGAUUGCUGGACAGUAACUGACGCUGAGGCGCGAAAGCGUGGGGAGCAAACAGGAUUAGAUACCCCAGUAGUC
rnacentral:rRNA from 1 species